CAUGAUCCGUUGACGCAUGGACUGCAGCUCUCUGUCGGGGUUGGAGAUCUCUGUGUCUUGUAUUGUUUGUAUUUGGUUUUCUAGAGGGCGCUGAAGAGCAUGAGCGGUGAGACAGGUGUGUUCCAUUCACCAAUGAUGAGUCCUGGAGUAUUUAAGCAGGAGGCAGCCAGCAUCUCAGCGCUCGAGUGUUAGCCUUCAGUGUAACUGUGUCGGUGACUACCUGGAUGUUGCCCAGGCCGGCCAACGACAGACUUUUCCUAUGGAGACCUUGUUCCAAGUUUCACAUGGAUGACUCAACUAACAAGUGUCUCACUAAUGCUGUACUACUGGGUUUACUCCUGCUGGCUAUUUCCUGGCUUCGACCUCCGAUCCAACCUCUACGAAACCUGUCCACCCUCCACCGCUCCUGUGAUGCCCUCACACAAUCCUCCAAACACUGUUAUCGACCAAGGAGCUAAGUAUCUUUGCAAAACUCGCCUCUAUAGUUUGACGCUGUUUCCUCCGGCACGACUCCCUCUCCUCCUUUGUCAACAACGAACUACGUUGCCUACUUUGUCAAGACAAUGCUUGUUCCUGUGAUUUCAAUAAAUCUGUU